AAGUCGUAACAAGGUAACCGUAGGUGAACCUGCGGUUGGAUCAUUAAUAAAAUCUUUAUAUUGUUAAGUGUAAAAAAUAAAAUUUAUUUUAUUUUUUACCUUUUCAAACAUUAUGUGAACUGUUAUUUUGGUAAGGAAUUAAAUAAAAGUAAUUAUUACUUUUUAUCCUUACCAUUAUUUAAACUUUUUAAAAAAAAUAUUUAUAUAGUCUUUAAAAAUAAAAAAAGUUUGUUAUUCAAAUUUUUUUAAAUUUAUUUUAAAAUUAUAAAACAACUUUUGACAACGGAUCUCUAGGCUCUCA
rnacentral:misc_RNA from 1 species